GCGCUUCGUGCGAGAGCUGCGGCCGGACCCGCUCGCUGCGGUACAGGAGAAGCGGAGCCACGAAACGGAGCCACCCCCGGAGAGACGGGGGCUGAUUUCGGUGCACACGUGAUGCCGCUCCCAGUUUUUGGGAAACCUUCCCGAAGUUCUGAGGAUUUACUUUGGUGGAAAAAGAGAGCACUUCUGGCUCCAUUUCUCUCCCAGCACCCGAAGACUGUGCCCCCUGGCCCCCGCCUCGGGGGCUAAGCUGGCGUCCCCAAGAGGAGCUCAGCUUUGCUUUCCUUCUGUGGAACAAGCUUGAUUCUUACUUUUUAAAGAAGAAAAAUGAAAUUUGGGAAAUGCAAACGUGUAUCAGGCUCCUGGAAAGCAGCUGAGGCCCCUGGGCACCGCGAGCGCGCACGCCUGGCUGGUUUCCACUCCGUGGCAAUUUGGCGCGGCGGCGCGUUUGUCUGCAUUUUAUCUGCAUGAGCAGGUCGCCGCUGUCGCAGCACCUGCUGCGGGGGGACGCGGCAACGGCGCCGCGGGGAAACCCACCGCCCGCGCCCCGAGGGGGGCACGUGUGCGGGGAGCAGGCGCGGGGGACCGGGGCUCCGGCCCCACGGAGGCACCUAAGCAGAGCGSCUCGAGCGCGUCCGUCCGUCCGUCCGUCCGGGUGACCACGCCGCCAGCACGGAGCGGCGACGCUGCAGGAGCCGGGCCCCGCGGGCGCCUCUUCUGUAUGAGCCCAGGCGCUAAAACGCAGUGGGCCCGCGGAUGCUUUGUGAGCCCUUGCCUUUUUCCCUCCUUUUCCAUCAUUUCCGCAAGAACAAGCCUGACRCCUGAGAGGUACCUGCCUGACAGCUGUGUGUUCUCCUUCGUGAACCGUCUCCGUUUGGCGCACGGCAGCAGCCCCCACUCAGCCUCGUAAGACGUAACUCCGGGACACAGUACACGCUCUAGAAGACUYGAAAAAAAAAGGAAGAAAAGAAAAAAAAGAAACUUGCCAAUCCACCGAAGAAGCCUCCACCCCCACCUCCUUUCCAGACCACCCUCUCGGGCAAAAAGCCCCAGUGAAUAGACGGGCCCUGCAACAUGCCCCCGGGGUCAACAGACUUGCUCUUUCUGACAGACCAACAGGGGAAAAGAAUGACGUUAAGGACAUAUGAAAUGAAAACUGCAGCGCGCUACCCUCCACACGCAAAAAGUCAGCGUUAGGGCAAUUGCGGGGAGUCGGGCUUUAAUACAGGAUUUCUACUGAUACAGUUUUGUGCACAGCUUGUGGAAAAAAGCCCAGAAAAGAUAAACCAGAGCUAAAAAUCUCAGCAACGGUCUCGUCAGACACACCACGUAUCCACCCAGUCACAUCCCCUUGCUUUCGCUGCUCGCGAGCGCGUGGCCCCGCUGCUGCUCACGGCGAGGGCAAGUGUGGCUGGGCUGCUUGGUAAAGCGGUGCUUCAAGUGUUUCCUGUGCUUGAGUGUUAAUGUUUAAAGUCAAUCUCUGUAUCCUCUGCGUUAUGCGCAGUUUUGCACCCCAGCUAAGAGCUGCAUCCCCCUGUAACGUCGGCAACCAGCAGUUCAUUACGAUUUAGCCGAUCUGUUAGAAAACAUCUGCGACCCCGAGGGAUUUUCACACUUUUUUCCCCCUUUCAAGAGGAGGGAAACCCGCACGCUGCCUUGGCAGCACGGGGCAGUGCGACAUGGCGGGUUGCUCCCUGUGACGGCUUCUGGUUCGCCAUCGUCUGCCUUAAGCCGCGGGGCUUCGCGGGAGGCGCUUGUGUGGUCCCGGCCGCCGCGCGGGGCGAGGGCCGAGCCGCUCAGCCGGGGGCCGCAGCGGUGCCGCCGCCGUCCACGGCGUGAACUGCGUCCCCGCGGGGUCGAGCUGUUGCGCUGCAGCCCCUUUGCCCGGCGCGAUCCUGCUUUGCGGGGAC
rnacentral:lncRNA from 1 species